rnacentral:rRNA from 1 species
UACGUAGGGGGCAAGCGUUGUCCGGAAUCAUUGGGCGUAAAGAGCGUGUAGGCGGCCCGGUAAGUCCGCUGUGAAAGUCCAGGGCUCAACCCUGGGAUGCCGGUGGAUACUGUCGGGCUCGAGUCCGGAAGAGGAGUGUGGAAUUCCUGGUGUAGCGGUGAAAUGUGUUGAUAUCGGAAGGAACGCCGGUGGCGAAAGCGACACACUGGAUCUUGUCUGACGCUGAGGCACGAAAGCCAGGGGAGCGAACGGG